UACGGAGGGUGCAAGCGUUAUCCGGAUUCACUGGGUUUAAAGGGUGCGUAGGUGGCUUUGUAAGUCAGUGGUGAAAUACCGCAGCUCAACUGCGGAACUGCCAUUGAUACUGCUUAGCUUGAAUCACGUCGAGGUGGAUGGAAUAAUACAUGUAGCGGUGAAAUGCUUAGAUAUGUAUUAGAACACCGAUUGCGAAGGCAGUUCACUAGGCGUGUAUUGACACUGAGGCACGAAAGCGUGGGGAUCAAACAGG
rnacentral:rRNA from 1 species